CCCGCCGGAGCCCGCUCACAAAGGAGCGCCCCUUGCGCACUGCCGGCGCCGCCAGAAUCACUCCAAAAGAAGCUCUGCUGGCAGGAUGCUGCUCUCCCUGCUCUCCCCCCGUGUGAGCUGGCCUGCAAGAUACCUCCUGUGUGACCUGCACUGCUGGGGGCUGCAUGUGCAGAAGAGGGCUGUCUGUCCCCGCAGAGGUGUGCAAACCACAUGGACAGCCAGCAGCCACCACGUCAGCCCUGUCUUCACUAGGGCUUUGACUUUCGGUGAUAAAGUCGCCAUCAUUGACCAAAAUGGUGAGCACACAUACAGGGAGCUUUUCUGCCACAGCCUCCGCCUGUCCCAGGAGAUCUGUAGAGUCCUGCAGUGCUCCAGCAGGGACUUGAAGGAGGAGAGGAUCUCAUUUUUGUGCCCCAAUGAUGCCUCGUAUGUGAUUGCCCAGUGGGCUUCUUGGAUGAGUGGAGGCAUAGCAGUUCCCCUGUACAAGAAGCACCCUGUGCAGCAACUGGAGUAUGUGAUUGAGGAUUCGCAGAGCGCUCUCGUCAUCGCGACAGACGAGUAUGUGGGGAAAAUAAGCCCUAGUGCUGAGAAGCUGGGAGUCCCAGUGCUGCCACUCAGCUUUCGUAGCAGUGGAUCUGCAGAUCAGACAGCGGUGGAAGACGUGCCCUUGGCAUCCAGUGCUUCCUGGAAGGACAGGGGAGCCAUGAUAAUCUACACGAGUGGGACAACGGGGAGACCAAAGGGUGUCCUCAGCACCCACGAGAAUGUGCAGGCGGUGACCACAGGGCUGGUUGAAAAAUGGGAGUGGAAGAAGGAAGAUGUUAUUCUGCACGUGCUGCCUUUGCAUCAUGUCCACGGGGUGAUCAAUAAGCUGCUCUGUCCUCUCUGGGUGGGAGCGACAUGCAUCAUGCUGCCCGAAUUCAGCGCGCAGAUGGUUUGGAAGAAGUUCCUGAGCUCCCAGGCUCCCCGUGUCAACGUCUUCAUGGCAGUGCCCACCAUCUAUGCCAAGCUGAUAGAAUACUACGAUGAGCAUUUCUCUCAGCCCCAAGUGCAGGACUUUGUGCGUGCCUUUUGCCAGGAGAACAUCAGGUUGAUGGUGUCAGGCUCUGCAGCCCUGCCUGUGCCUGUCCUGAAGAAGUGGAAGGCCAUCACUGGGCACACUUUGCUGGAGAGGUAUGGGAUGACAGAGAUUGGGAUGGCACUUUCCAACCCUCUGCAUGGAGUCCGUGUCCCAGGUUCUGUUGGGACCCCACUGCCCGGGGUGGAGGUGCGCAUUGCCACCGAGAAGGUGAGAGGUGGUGGCCGUUCCUACACCAUCCACGCUCAGGGAGAUGAGCACGGCACACAGGUGACUCCGGGUCUGGAAGGGCAGGAAGGGGAGCUGCUGGUCCGUGGCUCCUCGGUGUUCCGCGAGUACUGGAACAGGCCCAAAGAAACCAGAGAGGCUUUCACACCCGAUGGAUGGUUCAGGACAGGGGACACGGCAGCCUACCACGACGGUGUUUACUGGAUCAAGGGCCGCACCUCGGUGGACAUCAUCAAGAACGGGGGCUUCAAAAUCAGCGCUCUGGAGGUGGAGCGGCAGCUCCUCGCACACCCGCACAUCACAGACGUGGCCGUCAUCGGACCCCCAGACAUGGUGUGGGGGCAGCGGGUCAGCGCCGUGGUGCAGCUGCGCAGAGGGGAGAUGCUGUCGGUGAAGGAGCUGAAGGAGUGGGCCAGGGACACCAUGGCCCCCUACACCAUCCCCACUGAGCUGAUAGUGGUGGAGGAGAUCCCACGCAACCAGAUGGGGAAAGUCAACAAGAAGGAGCUCCUGCAGCGCUUCUACCCGGCGUAGUGCGCAGCCUGGGAGUCCCAUCCUCUGCCCCGAGGGCUCCCCGCUCCUCAGCGUGGAACAAAGCCCCCAAAAACGAGCUGGGUGAACACACAGCAACCGCAAGGGAAGCAAGCAACAAUGGGGAGAGACAAGGUCACCGGAGAAUAAAUCGCAGCGAGGGCUCUUCACGAUCCAUCAUUCCCGACAAGCCCGGCACCCAGCGCCGGCGCCGUGACAAGAUCAUUAAUAAAACUCCACGGGAGCGCGAUCGAUGGCUCUGAUGGAUGAUCACAGGUAGCAAAUAGUGCAGAACACCUGGUUGUCACCCUGCAGUGAGGGGCUCACACGGCCCGGGGGUGUCUUCGUGUCCCCUAAGGACGGGGUUGGCGAUGUGAGGUCACGCCGCCUCCGUGCCCACUGAGCAAGGCAGAGUUUGGUGCGUGGAGCUGAGCAGCAGUGUGGGGAUGUGUGUCCCAAAGCCAGGUGCUCUGCUCCCCCCACAUUGGGGGGGGUGGGGCUGCAUGCCACCCCCCUGCCCCCCCCAAGUCUCCCAGCCAGCCACGUCCACGUGGAUGCUCCCAUCAUGUGUGCACAACCGUUCCAUUACGUGUGGUGGCCACGGGCUGUGAAGCCAUCCAUCUCCUUCACGGGGGGCUGCAGGGCUGUGUGGGGUGGCAGCAGGAGGGUGGGUGGGUGAGAGCAGACGGACAGAUGGGGACAGGCCAGUGAGUGCCACCGUGUCCCCUCGGCCACCCCCAGCCCUGCUACCUCCAGGCUUCAGUGGAUGGGAGCAGGGCAGCCUUCGUCCCACGUCCCCUCUUGCAUGUCCCCAACCCAUGUCCUAUGUCUGAUGUCCUUCCAUGUGCCGUGUCUCACCUCCUCUGUCCUAUGUCCUAUGUUCUUUGCACUGUCCCCUGUCCCCUGCCUCCGUGCCCCAUUUCCUAACCUCCAUCCCACAGAGCUUUGCAGUAGAUGCCCUGUGUUGUGGGAAGAGAGGGGACAGGGGAAGGGGGGUUUGAGUGUGGUUAGGGCACUCCCAAAAGGGAGAAUUCCAGACGGGGACGUGGAACUGCCACUCCAUGUCACCAAAACGCCGCACCUUCACCUGCCAGGGACAAAGGACAGGGGACACGGCCCCUGCCCAGCCCUGGGGAGGUGGCAUCGGCUGCAGCCCGUCCCCCCUCGGGCCGC